UGGAGACCAGAGUGUGGUGUUUCUGCACACGUGUGUCUUACCUUCUGAAGAUGUAGCUGUUGUAGGUGUCACCACGAGGGGGAUUAUUGUUGGCGUUGCCUCUCUGAGGUGGAAUGAAGGAGUUGGCUUGAUUUGGACUCACAAACAAGUCUGAAAGCAAAGAGCUAAUCAGCACUAUACGUCCAUAUACACCGUGUGGCGGCCAAGAUAUUUCGAGAGCCGACGGCAACCACAACCCGAGCCAGGG